CUGGGGGACCCAGUGACCCUUCUGGCUGCUAGAGUCUGCUGACCAUGAUUCACGAGCCAUCGUGGGAGGCAGCAGAGGAGUCAGCUGAUGGUGACACUUCAGGAUCUGGCCUUCUUUUUCUGAUCAUUAGCAACUAUGUUGGGAAUAAGACAGGGCCCCGUUUAGCUAAUCAGAACUUCCAGGGCUAGAUAUGGAGAGAAGCGAGAAAGGAGAUGGGAAGGUACCAGCCUGUGCUAGGUGAUUUACACAAAUUAUUUUGCUUCCCACUGUGACAUUAUGGGUUUGAACUACUAAUUGUAGUAAUCAUAAUAACAGCUAGCAUUAAUUGAGGAUUUACUUUGCGCCAGUCCCUUCCUUAAAGGACUUUAUAUUCAUUAUCUCAAGCUAACUUAUAUAACAAUUAUAUGGCAUAGAUACCAUCGUUAUCCUCAUUUUUCUGGUUAAAAAAUUGGGUCAGGUUUUGGGUCAGGGCACAGAGAGAGGGCACUUGCCCAUCUCACAGCUUUUAAGUGGCAGAGUUGGGACUUGAACCUACUUCAUCUGAUGCCAGAGCCUGCAGAACGCAGAUGCCUUGAUGUCCUAUCCUUCAGCACAUACAAAACAGAACAAGCAAACACAUUAGAAUGAACGUGGAAUGGAUACGAAAGACCCUAUCUACCCUGAGAGUCAACUUUGAGUGCAACUUUGAGUCAAAGACCACAGAGGAGAUGCAUGGAGUAUUAGCCUGGCUGGACCAGUCUGAGAUGCCCAGGUUGAAGACCUUAAGAACAUCCCAUGGGCUUUGGCCAUUUGUAUUUAGCCAAACUCUUGGGCUUUGGUUCAGCAUUCUGUGAGUUUGAAAUCUACACCAAACCCUGUGCCAGAUGAAGGAACACAGAGAUGAAGAAUAUAAGGCUGUUGCCUUCAAGAAGAUCACAGAUAUGGCAAAGGUGGAGCUCCAGCAGGCACUGACCAUGUUCAGCAUUAAAUAGCAACCAAAAGGAACUGCUCCCCUGUGCCCAGACAGCCAAAGGAGAACUCAUGAAGGCCCAGAAUAUCAGAGAUAAUUCUGAUUCUGGCAUAAGAAGCUGGAAGAUAAGAAGUCUUUGUUAGUUCCUCCUUCAUGGGUACAAUGAGGUAUUCAUGCUAUUCCCCUCGGGACUUGGGAAGUCUUUUAGGCCCAAGAAAGGUCUGUGCGUCAUCAUAAUUGUGUAAUAUGGCUGCCCUCUUUCCGCCCCACCCCUUGACAUAUCCUGGUCAGGCAAGUUAAAGUUCUGUUGAUGCGCUAACUGUUGUGGCCACCAUCAAUCACACUUCCUUCAGUGGUCUUUGAUAUGGCCUUCCAAAGACCUGGAAAUCUGGGGACCACUUCCUUCCAUCGAUCUCACCCCCUAUUUUCUGCCACCAUGUAAAGGGAUUGAUUCCAUUUAAAGGCAUUGUGACAUGAGGACAAGGCACAGCCUCAGAAGUUUAACUGCCCUGAGUCUGAAUCACUUACCAGCCAUGAAGGCUUGGACAAUUUUCUUAACCUCAGAACCUCAGGAUUUUGUUUUGUCUUGUUUUUGUCCAAUGUGGAAAAUAAGACUUAUGGAACAGCUUCAUAGAGUUGAUAUCCAGAUUAAAUGGAACAGCAUAGGUAAAAUCCCCAGCACUUUACUGACACCUAGCCGAUGCCCAAUAAAUAUAGUUGCCAUUUAUCGGUUCUAGGCAGGUUUGGUGAAAUAAAUGGACAUAUCGAGCCCCACGUUGGGCUCUGUGCUGACAA